rnacentral:rRNA from 1 species
UACGGGGGGGGCAAGCGUUGUUCGGAAUUACUGGGCGUAAAGGGCUUGUAGGUGGCCAACUAAGUCAGACGUGAAAUCCCUCGGCUUAACCGGGGAACUGCGUCUGAUACUGGAUGGCUUGAGUGUGGGAGAGGGAUGCGGAAUUCCAGGUGUAGCGGUGAAAUGCGUAGAUAUCUGGAGGAACACCGGUGGCGAAGGCGGCAUCCUGGACCAACACUGACGCUGAGGAGCGGAAGCCAGGGAGCAAAGCGGG